rnacentral:lncRNA from 1 species
UUAGUGCUCUGCCAGACCUCUCCUUAGCUAAACCAGUCUACAGCACUUCAUGGGGAAGCACUGGAAUUUUCUCUGUGGAAGCUGCUGAAUACUUGCCCCUCUGAGCAAAGAUCUCCAUGGAUACUACAUAUGAAAGAUUUCAGAGAGGUGGUGAACAAAAACAUUUAGUAUCACUUUCCUUCUCAGCCCAUGCAGACUUGUUAAGCUGACUACUGCACAGAGCAACAGACCACUGACAUUCGUUUACUGAAAGAGCUCAGCCCGUGACACCAAUCCUGCCCAAACUGCCCUGGACUACCACAGUUCAGAUCAGUUCAAGACAGGACAAUGAAGAAUGUAAUGAGGAGGAGGAAGAGGAAGCAAGAGGGUAAGACAACUUGAUAGGAGACAGAGAACCAUGCUCCAAUUGUUAUCCUAAUGCCAACAUAUUUAU